AAGCACAUUAUGGGUCAGAACGUUGCAGAUUACAUGCAUUGCCCUCAUGGAAGAAGAUGAAGAUGCUUACAAGAAACAAUUCUGUCAAUAUAUAAAGAACAAUGCAGCUCCAAAUGUAAGAGAGGAAAUGUAUCAGAAAGCUCAGGCUGCUAUACAAGAGAAUCCAGUCUAUGAAAAGAAGCCUAAGAAAGAUGUUAAGAAGGGAAAGUGGAAUCAUCUCAAAACGCUUCUUGCCGAGAAGAAAGACUGAGUAGCUCAGAAGACCAACUUCCUCCGAGCUCCGGAGUAGGCCUCUAAAAGCUAAAAAACUAAGCUGCAAUUUUCUUUGAAGAUUUUUUCAGAAUUCUGUUCCAUCUGUGAAGUCCUAACUACAAGCAAGGCCUCUCCAACAAAGCUUCUGCUCCAGUUACCAGACUCAUUCCAAAAAUAGAAGCACUGUUAUGAAAUGGCCAGACCAUUGGCAAAGCACAGAAAGGACUCCAGCCUCUGUGCCUCGGGGACAGCAACCCUCUUCGACAGCCUUGUUUUGAUGUACAAACACCAGACUGGAAAGUCUCCAUGAAGCAGAGCUGUUUCUACGAUAGUAAAAACUUGGAGGACUUCCCAAAGGCUUCCAUCUGGUGGCAAAGCAGGCUCCUUCUUCAUCUUCUUUGGCUGAGAUCUCAAACCAGUGUCUUUUGGGAAAAUGUCUUGAAAAUAAGCAAUCCACCAAAAUCAUUACCUCUCAGAAUAAGACAAGCCCCUCAACUGGAAUGAUGAAGUGCAGGUGACAACAAAGAACUGGAUGACAUUCUCUAGACUUUAUUUCAUUGGAAUCAAUAGGAAACAAUGGCAGUAAAGGGGAACAUAUUUACACCACUUCUAGGUUCUGAGGCUGCUACAAGAAGAGUAUGUGAAAGCAUUUUUUAAUGCAUAAAAUGGUACAUAAAUGCAAGCCUCAUUAUUAUGUUAAAGGCUCUGGGGAUCAGAGAGCAGAGGCACAGUAUUCUCAAAGCUUUUCUCACUUCCAGGAAUAACAAAGAUGAUUAAAAGCCUACAGUGUGCCCGAAGGGAGGCAGAGAGAAAGGGAAGGGGAUUGAAUAAGGACAAGACUGAGACCCAGACAAGAAGGAGGGAGUCCGAGGAACAUAUUCCCAGAUCAUUCCAGAGAAGAAGCCCACGUGGUCAAGACACAGUGUUUUACGAUCCAACUUUCACCAACAAAGUUUCUGGAACUAGUUAGCAUUAUGAUUUAUAAUUAAGAAGGUAGAAGAAAGCAACCAGAUGAUAGCUGCAUACUUGAUUGUCAAGUAAGAAAUAGUUGAUUAACAUGAGAUCUGUAAAUAUACACUAACCCCAAGCAGAAAGAUGGUCCACUCUCAGGAGAACUGGUCCAGCUAGUCAAAUAAUACAUAGUUAAGGUCAGGACUCCAGUUCUAGAGAGGAGGGGACACCAGAGAAGGACACUACUUAGAAUGAGUGAGAUGGGAACAUGGGUCAAUACCCAGACCUGGGACUGGACCAAAACAGUGAGAAGAGGAAAACAGGUGAGGAUGUUUGAUCUUCUGACCUACUCAUACACCCAGAGUUCUUCCCUUGUGUACCAGAUUCCAAGUCUAUGGGUAGAAAAAAACUUACUGGAGUAGAGAAGGGAGCAUGGUACAGGGAUAAAGAAAUUGAAAUCAAGAGCCCAGUGGUCAUUACUAGAACACUAGAUUUAUUCCAAUCUCCAAUCAGCCAUGGAGAAGAUGGAAGAAGAUAGAGAAAAGAGAGCCUUGGUGAAGGUGUGGAUGUCAUGCACAAGGUCUGUGAAAAUUCCUUCACUUUUCCAGGGAGAGUGAGUCUAUGCCAGAAGCCAUCAGAGGGUCAGCUUGGAAUAGCUGGAAAAGACAGAAGUUGAAAAGAAACAUAUUACACCGAGUAAAAUAAAUACAUUUUAAACCA